CAGCUAUGCUUUUUGUUGCCGGGGCAGUAUCAGCUCUUACUGUCUGCCAUCUCUCGUUUAGACCUAAGCUGAAUGCAGCGAGGGAAAAGUACAUAUAUGUAUAGCGGCCUUGUGGGCGCAGAGGUGUUAU